rnacentral:lncRNA from 1 species
CCCCUUUUUCAAUCAAUCAGCAUCAACAUCACUUCACCUGCAAAACCAAUUCAAAAUUAAAAAACAGCUUAUCAAAUAAGCACUUAAAAAACUGGAAAAUAAUUAAUAGAAUGAGCAGAUUAAUAUGUUACACGAUGAAUCAAAGAAAGCGCUCAGAAACACACUGCAUUAUCCAAAUAAACAACUUUAAAUCCAUAGAUUAAUCAUCCCACAAAAUCAGGAAACAGGAUCCAACAAGUUAUCUCACAAAAACCAACAUUCAUGUAUAUAAACCACAAAAUUAAUUAACAGUAAC